AUACGGAGGGCACAAGCGUUGUUCGGAAUCAUUGGGCGUAAAGCGCGUGUAGGCGGCUCGGUAAGUCGGAUGUGAAAGCCCGGGGCUCAACCCCGGAACUGCACUCGAAACUGCCUGGCUAGAGUCUCGGAGAGGUAGGCGGAAUUCCCGGUGUAGAGGUGAAAUUCGUAGAUAUCGGGAGGAACACCAGUGGCGAAGGCGGCCUACUGGACGAUGACUGACGCUGAGGUGCGAAAGCGUGGGGAGCAAACAGGAUUAGAAACCCCAGUAGUCC
rnacentral:rRNA from 1 species